GUUACAAAAUUUUCAUAAACAAUUUUUUUUUUUUUGUAUUUUUAUAAACAAAAAUUUUGACAUGCAGUCCUAUAAAUAAAUUAGAGACCUAAUUGAAGGGGCCAAGAAUGCAGCACUAGAGAUCUCCAUUCUGCAAAAAUGAAGCCCUUUCACUUUCUUAUCGUAUGCAUCCUUUUCUCUUCUUUGCUUCUCAUUCCUUCUCCAUCUGUGGCUCGAGAGCUUGCUCACAACGAUGAAAAUGGAGGUAAAAAAGCUGAAGUUCUGCUGGAGAAAGAAAGUGUAAGUGAAGCAACAGGAGGAAGCAACGUUGGAGAUGCAGUACCAACAUGUACCCGUCGUCAGAGUCCAUCUUAUAGAUGCAAAUGCCCUGUCUACAGACCUAGAUGCUAAUUAAGCAACAAAAGAACAGUAUAUAUUACAGUAUACAAAGCAAAGUGGUUCCUUGUAUUAUUCUAAUUAAUAUUUACGUUGGCUUUGCAAUGGUGAGUUGUAAGUGUUUCUCCCUCAUGUAUUACUGUAUUUGCUCCCAGUAAAGGAUGGUUGUUUGACAGAAUUCAACUUGUUUA